rnacentral:lncRNA from 1 species
GGGAAAUCAAGAGCAACCAUUUAACCUAGUACCCCUUGAAGUCAAGAAAACUAUACGCAUGCGCAUAAUUACCUAAACAAACCCUGUAGUAAGAACGUAUAUUAAACCUAAAUGGUUCUCUAUUAUAUAUGGAAGUACAAUAUCAAAUAUCAGUUUAAUAACGGUGACAUAUAAGUAAAACUUCACUUCAGUUCUUAUAUGACAGAAAUAGAUU